GACGAACGCUGGCGGCGUGCUUAACACAUGCAAGUCGAACGGUAAGGCCCUUCGGGGUACACGAGUGGCGGACGGGUGAGUAACACGUGGGUGAUCUGCCCUGCACUUCGGGAUAAGCCUGGGAAACUGGGUCUAAUACCGGAUAGGACCACUGCCUGCAUGGGUGGUGGUGGAAAGCUUUUGCGGUGUGGGAUGGGCCCGCGGCCUAUCAGCUUGUUGGUGGGGUGAUGGCCUACCAAGGCGACGACGGGUAGCCGGCCUGAGAGGGUGACCGGCCACACUGGGACUGAGAUACGGCCCAGACUCCUACGGGAGGCAGCGGUGGGGAAUAUUGCACAAUGGGCGCAAGCCUGAUGCAGCGACGCCGCGUGAGGGAUGACGGCCUUCGGGUUGUAAACCUCUUUCAGCACCGACGAAGCGCAAGUGACGGUAGGUGCAGAAGAAGGACCGGCCAACUACGUGCCAGCCGCCGCUGUAA
rnacentral:rRNA from 1 species